GUGACUGCGUACCUUUUGUAUAAUGGGUCAGCGACUUAUAUUCUGUAGCAAGGUUAACCGAAUAGGGGAGCCGAAGGGAAACCGAGUCUUAACCGGGCGUUAAGUUGCAGGGUAUAGACCCGAAACCCGGUGAUCUAGCCAUGGGCAGGUUGAAGGUUGGGUAACACUAACUGGAGGACCGAACCGACUAAUGUUGAAAAAUUAGCGGAUGACUUGUGGCUGGGGGCGAAAGGCCAAUCAAACCGGGAGAUAGCUGGUUCUCCCCGAAAGCUAUUUAGGUAGCGCCUCGUGAAUUCAUCUCCGGGGGUAGAGCACUGUUUCGGCAAGGGGGUCAUCCCGACUUACCAACCCGAUGCAAACUGCGAAUACCGGAGAAUGUUAUCACGGGAGACACACGGUGGGUGCUAACGUCCGUCGUGAAGAGGGAAACAACCCAGACCGCCAGCUAAGGUCCCAAAGUCAUGGUUAAGUGGGAAACGAUGUGGGAAGGCCCAGACAGCCAGGAUGUUGGCUUAGAAGCAGCCAUCAUUUAAAGAAAGCGUAAUAGCUCACUGGUCGAGUCGGCCUGCGCGGAAGAUGUAACGGGGCUAAACNAUGCUGGAGGUAUCAGAAGUGCGAAUGCUGACAUAAGUAACGAUAAAGCGGGUGAAAAGCCCGCUCGCCGGAAGACCAAGGGUUCCUGUCCAACGUUAAUCGGGGCAGGGUGAGUCGACCCCUAAGGCGAGGCCGAAAGGCGUAGUCGAUGGGAAACAGGUUAAUAUUCCUGUACUUGGUGUUACUGCGAAGGGGGGACGGAGAAGGCUAUGUUGGCCGGGCGACGGUUGUCCCGGUUUAAGCGUGUAGGCUGGUUUUCCAGGCAAAUCCGGAAAAUCAAGGCUGAGGCGUGAUGACGAGGCACUACGGUGCUGAAGCAACAAAUGCCCUGCUUCCAGGAAAAGCCUCUAAGCAUCAGGUAACAUCAAAUCGUACCCCAAACCGACACAGGUGGUCAGGUAGAGAAUACCAAGGCGUUUGAGAGAACUCGGGUGAAGGAACUAGGCAAAAUGGUGCCGUAACUUCGGGAGAAGGCACGCUGAUAUGUAGGUGAAGUCCCUCGCGGAUGGAGCUGAAAUCAGUCGAAGAUACCAGCUGGCUGCAACUGUUUAUUAAAAACACAGCACUGUGCAAACACGAAAGUGGACGUAUACGGUGUGACGCCUGCCCGGUGCCGGAAGGUUAAUUGAUGGGGUCAGCGCAAGCGAAGCUCUUGAUCGAAGCCCCGGUAAACGGCGGCCGUAACUAUAACGGUCCUAAGGUAGCGAAAUUCCUUGUCGGGUAAGUUCCGACCUGCACGAAUGGCGUAAUGAUGGCCAGGCUGUCUCCACCCGAGACUCAGUGAAAUUGAACUCGCUGUGAAGAUGCAGUGUACCCGCGGCAAGACGGAAAGACCCCGUGAACCUUUACUAUAGCUUGACACUGAACAUUGAGCCUUGAUGUGUAGGAUAGGUGGGAGGCUUUGAAGUGUGGACGCCAGUCUGCAUGGAGCCGACCUUGAAAUACCACCCUUUAAUGUUUGAUGUUCUAACGUGGACCCGUGAUCCGGGUUGCGGACAGUGUCUGGUGGGUAGUUUGACUGGGGCGGUCUCCUCCUAAAGAGUAACGGAGGAGCACGAAGGUUGGCUAAUCCUGGUCGGACAUCAGGAGGUUAGUGCAAUGGCAUAAGCCAGCUUGACUGCGAGCGUGACGGCGCGAGCAGGUGCGAAAGCAGGUCAUAGUGAUCCGGUGGUUCUGAAUGGAAGGGCCAUCGCUCAACGGAUAAAAGGUACUCCGGGGAUAACAGGCUGAUACCGCCCAAGAGUUCAUAUCGACGGCGGUGUUUGGCACCUCGAUGUCGGCUCAUCACAUCCUGGGGCUGAAGUAGGUCCCAAGGGUAUGGCUGUUCGCCAUUUAAAGUGGUACGCGAGCUGGGUUUAGAACGUCGUGAGACAGUUCGGUCCCUAUCUGCCGUGGGCGCUGGAGAACUGAGGGGGGCUGCUCCUAGUACGAGAGGACCGGAGUGGACGCAUCACUGGUGUUCGGGUUGUCAUGCCAAUGGCACUGCCCGGUAGCUAAAUGCGGAAGAGAUAAGUGCUGAAAGCAUCUAAGCACGAAACUUGCCCCGAGAUGAGUUCUCCCUGACCCUUUAAGGGUCCUGAAGGAACGUUGAAGACGACGACGUUGAUAGGCCGGGUGUGUAAGCGCAGCGAUGCGUUGAGCUAACCGGUACUAAUGAACCGUGAGGCUUAACC
rnacentral:rRNA from 1 species